AACGAACGCUGGCGGCAUGCCUAACACAUGCAAGUCGAACGAGACCUUCGGGUCUAGUGGCGCACGGGUGCGUAACGCGUGGGAACCUGCCUUUAGGUUCGGAAUAACUCCCCGAAAGGGGUGCUAAUACCGGAUAAUGUCUUCGGACCAAAGAUUUAUCGCCUUUGGAUGGGCCUGCGUUGGAUUAGCUAGUUGGUAGGGUAAAAGCCUACCAAGGCGACGAUCCAUAGCUGGUCUGAGAGGAUGAUCAGCCACACUGGGACUGAGACACGGCCCAGACUCCUACGGGAGGCAGCAGUGGGUAAUAUUGGACAGUGGGCGAAAGCCUGAUCCAGCAAUGCCGCGUGAGUGAUGAAGGCCUUAGGGUUGUAAAGCUCUUUUACCCGGGAUGAUAAUGACAGUACCGGGAGAAUAAGCUCCGGCUAACUCCGUG
rnacentral:rRNA from 1 species